CAAAGGGUAGUUUAAAUAAAAUAUUAAUUUUGGGGAUUAGUGAUAAGAAGUUUUCUUUCCUUUGA
rnacentral:tRNA from 1 species